rnacentral:rRNA from 1 species
GAUGAACGCUGGCGGCGUGCUUAACACAUGCAAGUCGAACGGGAUCCAAGGGGUGCUUGCACUUUUUGGUGAGAGUGGCGAACGGGUGAGUAAUACGUGAGUAACCUGUCCUUUUCUUUGGGAUAAGCAUUCGAAAGGGUGUUUAAUACCUUAUGUUCUGUCUGCCUCGCAUGGGGUGGGUGGGAAAGGCUUUGGCCGGAUUUGGGUGGGCUCGCGGUCUAUCAGCUUGUUGGUGGGGUGAUGGCUUACCAAGGCUUUGACGGGUAGCCGGCCUGAGAGGGUGGCCGUCACAAUUGGACUUGGGAUCCGGCCAGGAUUCCUCGGGAAGGAAGAGGGGGGGGAUAUUGACCAAUGGCGAAAGCCUGAUGCAGCGACGCCGCGUGGGGGAUGAAGGCCUUCGGGUUGUAAACUUCUUUUGCUCUGAACAAGGCAUGCCAGUGGGUGUGUUGAGUGUAGGGGUUGAUUAGCGCCGGCUAACUACGUG